rnacentral:tRNA from 2 species
UGCUCGGUAGCUUAGCCCGGUAAGGGGCUCGUCUAGCAUACAAGAGUCCUGGGUUCAAGUCCCAGCCGAGCAC